ACUACCAUGCAGUCGAGCGGAGAAGGGAGCUUGCUCCCGGAUUUAGCGGCGGACGGGUGAGUAACACCUGGGAAUCUGCCUGAUAGUGGGGGAUAACGUCCGGAAACGGGCGCUAAUACCGCGUACGUCCUACGGGAGAAAGCAGGGGAUCUUCGGACCUUGCGCUAUCAGAUGAGCCCAGGUCGGAUUACCUUGUUGGUGAGGUAAUGGCUCACCAAGGCGACGAUCCGUAACUGGUCUGAGAGGAUGAUCAGUCACACUGGAACUGAGACACGGUCCAGACUCCUACGGGAGGCAGCAGUGGGGAAUAUUGGACAAUGGGGGCAACCCUGAUCCAGCCAUGCCGCGUGUGUGAAGAAGGUCUUCGGAUUGUAAAGCACUUUAAGUUGGGAGGAAGGGCUUUAGGCUAAUACCCUGAAGUUUUGACGUUACCGACAGAAUAAGCACCGGCUAACUCUGUGCCAGCAGCCGCGGUAAUACAGAGGGUGCAAGCGUUAAUCGGAAUUACUGGGCGUAAAGCGCGCGUAGGUGGUUCAGUAAGAUGGGUGUGAAAUCCCCGGGCUCAACCUGGGAACUGCAUCCAUAACUGCUGGGCUAGAGUACGGUAGAGGGUAGUGGAAUUUCCUGUGUAGCGGUGAAAUGCGUAGAUAUAGGAAGGAACACCAGUGGCGAAGCGACUACCUGGACUGAUACUGACACUGAGGUGCGAAAGCGUGGGGGAGCAAACAGGAUUAGAUACCCUGGUAGUCCACGCCGUAAACGAUGUCCACUAGCCGUUGGGAACCUUGAGUUCUUAGUGGCGCAGCUAACGCACUAAGUUGACCGCCUGGGGAGUACGGUCGCAAGAUUAAAACUCAAUGAAUUGACUGGGGCCCGCACAAGCGGUCGAGCAUGUGGUUUAAUUCGAAGCACGCGUAGAACCUUACCUGGCUUGACAUGCAGAGACUUC
rnacentral:rRNA from 1 species